rnacentral:rRNA from 1 species
AUGAACGCUGGCGGCGUGCCUAAUACAUGCAAGUCGAGCGAACGGACGAGAAGCUUGCUUCUCUGAUGUUAGCGGCGGACGGGUGAGUAACACGUGGAUAACCUACCUAUAAGACUGGGAUAACUUCGGGAAACCGGAGCUAAUACCGGAUGAUAUUUUGAACCGCAUGGUUCAAAAGUGAAAGACGGUCUUGCUGUCACUUAUAGAUGGAUCCGCGCUGCAUUAGCUAGUUGGUAAGGUAACGGCUUACCAAGGCAACGAUGCAUAGCCGUCCUGAGAGGGUGAUCGGCCACACUGGAACUGAGACACGGUCCAGACUCCUACGGGAGGCAGCAGUAGGGAAUCUUCCGCAAUGGGCGAAAGCCUGACGGAGCAACGCCGCGUGAGUGAUGAAGGUCUUCGGAUCGUAAAACUCUGUUAUUAGGGAAGAACAUAUGUGUAAGUAACUGUGCACAUCUUGACGGUACCUAAUCAGAAAGCCACGGCUAACUACGUG